UUAAUACCGGAUAGCAUACGAAUAUCGCAUGAUAUUUUUAUUAAAGAAUUUCGGUUAUCGAUGGGGAUGCGUUCCAUUAGUUUGUUGGCGGGGUAACGGCCCACCAAGACUACGAUGGAUAGGGGUUCUGAGAGGAAGGUCCCCCACAUUGGAACUGAGACACGGUCCAAACUCCUACGGGAGGCAGCAGUGAGGAAUAUUGGUCAAUGGGCGAGAGCCUGAACCAGCCAAGUAGCGUGAAGGAUGAAGGCUCUAUGGGUCGUAAACUUCUUUUAUAUGGGAAUAAAGUAUUCCACGUGUGGAAUUUUGUAUGUACCAUAUGAAUAAGGAUCGGCUAACUCCGUGCCAGCAGCCGCGGUAAUACGGAGGAUCCGAGCGUUAUCCGGAUUUAUUGGGUUUAAAGGGAGCGUAGGUGGAUUGUUAAGUCAGUUGUGAAAGUUUGCGGCUCAACCGUAAAAUUGCAGUUGAAACUGGGAGUCUUGAGUACAGUAGAGGUGGGCGGAAUUCGUGGUGUAGCGGUGAAAUGCUUAGAUAUCACGAAGAACUCCGAUUGCGAAGGCAGCACACUAGACUGUUACUGACACUGAUGCUCGAAAGUGUGGGUAUCAAACAGGAUUAGAUACCCUGGUAGUCCACACAGUAAACGAUGAAGACUCGCUGUUUGCGAUAUACAGUAAGCGGCCA
rnacentral:rRNA from 1 species